GCUUAAAAAAAUAAACCACUAGAAGCCAAUUUCCAAAGUCUGCCUAAGAAGACAGAAUAAAACACUACUGAAUGCCUAUACAGGGAAAACCUUUUCUGAGCUCAUCAAACAGAGAAAAGGGUGAAAAAAGCUGAUGCCUGAUGUAUGAAGGAGAUUAUAUGUACUCAUGCAGAAGGAAAGAAAAUGUCAAACAUUCCUUCAAUCCUUGCAGUGGAUACUGAAUCUCCAUAGAGAAAUUCUGAUAAGAGAGAAGGUGGUGGG